CUCCCCCGCCUGACGGCGCGGGGAGCAGGAGGGGUCCCUGGCGGGGGCUGCCCGGCGCUUGUGCCGCCUUCCCGGCUCCCCGAGCCGGACGCGGGCUGGGAGGAGCCGCGCGAGUCCUCGGGUGGGGGGGCGGGGGGCUGGUGUGUCCUAAAUUGGGUGGAAAGGCUGCUGCCUAGUCGUCGUCUUCUCGGUCUCUGCCUCCUGCGGGGGGAAGAAGGGGAAGGUCUGUUUCCAGCACCCGAUUCCCGUGGGAUUUGGGAUCCUCGGAAGCGCGUGCUCAUGGAUGAGAGCGUUAGCCUCCUCCAAAACGUUCUGACCGGGCUGUGAGAGGGAGAGGUGCCGAGCUGCGUGUAACGUGGCGCAGGGGAGACAAGUAUGUGCUCGGUUCUUCCGCAAAGGCAAAAGAGCAGCUGGCAGAGUCGCCUAUUUGGACGAGGAGCGUUUGAAGCGGGAUACCUUAGCGAUGUGCUCAGGCGUGCCUGGGAGGUAACCGCCCUGCUGUCCCCGGGCUGAGCCCCAGCCUCUUCAGCACCCUCCGACAGCUGCACGCCUACUCGGUGCUUGCUCUCUCCCUCUUCUCUGCGCUCGGCAUCGGGCUUCAACACGUCUCAGUGGUUGCUUCUAGGCCAUCAUCCGAGGACGCUGAGCACCACACGGACAACCUGUUUGCAGGCAGCGCUUUGAGCUCCUCUUUACGCGCUGCAUGCAAUUCACUUCCCUGAUGCGUAUUUUGCCUCGGUACUAAGUAAUCCUGGGUGCUAGUUAGUAAAUAAUGUAUACCCUUUCCUUCAGCUCAUGUUGUGUGUUGUUCACUUGGACCUCUGUUUAUACAAGUCUCUGUUUUUGAAGCAAACCAAAAUGCGUUUCAGUGAAACCAGCCCCUACGUACCAUCGCAAACUUUUAUUCUACAAAAGCAUUAAAAAGCUGAGAGUGUUAGAAGUUCAUUUAUACAUUUGGUUAUUCAAAAAGGCAAAGGAAAACCUUUAUAGACAGCAGCUCUAACAGCUACCUGCAUCACACAGCCACGUUGCAGUUUCAUCAGUCUAAUUAGGGGCAGUCUCCCUGGAUCAUUUGGUGUCUGCCAGGUUCUGAGGUGGCUGCUUAGGACUUGUCUUCUGCAGGCUUUUUAAGUUCCAGUUUUAUGUCAGCUGAACACAGGUUUUUCUUUUGCAGCUUUUGGCACUAGUGAAUACAGUCUUCUCCUCCCUCAGCUACCAGCCACGUGUGUCUCCUGCUAUUGUUUGAAUUAAUGAAUGAAGUUUUAAUUAUACCACAAGUGACCUUAGAAAUAGCAGAGGUUAAGCAAAACAGUCCUACUCUGUCCACUGCUCCUGAUGAGGAAAACUGCUCGAGAGACAUUGAUGGUGGCAGAAAUUCUCUAGUAAUUCCCAAAACAGUGUGCAAGGGCAUUGCAUGUCACAGUGUGAGUAAGUAGUCUCUCCAGCUCCUUCUUCAAAUAUCCCUUAGGACCUCUUGCUUCCUGUGGUGUUUGCUUUGGGUUUGCUCACUGCUACUUUGUUCUUUGUGUGUUCUUUUGGUUUCAAACUGUGGCUCAUCUUCAGAUUGUACUUCAUGAGCAAAGCUGCCCCUACACAGUGUAGUGGCAUCUUGAUUAGCUGGUGUACCUCAUAGCAAUAGCUUUGGUGGUAGCAAGAAGGGGCUUUUCUGUUUUGAUUACAACAGCUAGCAAAUUAAAGCUUA